AGAGACAGACAGAGACUGAGACCGACUGUCAGUAUCUGCGUUUAUUCUUCUGUAUUUAAAUCACAGCUGGGCUCGGGACGCGCGGCAGAGACUGGAACAGUCCAGUUUUAAGAUCUGAACCAGCUUAGGAUUUGAGAGCGAACUAGUCUGGGUGGGGAACUCGACUUUGUUUUAAUCUGCCAGCCACAGCAGCUUUCCACAACUCACCAGCCACUCGUCCUGCUUGACCAGGCGAUAUUUUUGGAUGAAAUGCAACCUGGAGGUGAUGGCUGGUAGUUGUCUCUCACUGUGUGACAAAGGAAGCUUUUUGUAACUGGAAACCACAGAAUGGCCGGCGCCUCGCUUCCGCACCGAUCCCCGUCUCUCAGCCGGCUCGGAAAAACACACAAAAACUUUCACGAACUUUGUCAAAAGUCGAGUUCGAUUUCUGUGUGGAAAAAGAAGUCUUGGAAGGGCGGAUAUAGUGUUGAUCAGUUUGUGUUCUUCAUGUUUGUUUGUUUUUUAAAACCCAUCACACUAUUGAUCCCUUUGAAGCCACCCUGUGAGUUGGUUUGUGUUUUAAUAAUUUCUCAUUCAUAAUCAUUCUCAGUUGAUUCCAUGUGUGUACAGCGAGUUGAACAUGUGGCACGUGUUGCUAGAGUAUUUUCUGUUGUUUUUGCGUGUGUGCGAUUAUCAGUGACUUUUAGGUGUAGGUAGGGGAAUUCUUGUGUUUUGUGGAUUUUUUUUUUUAUAACUGAACAAAUCAAAACAUUUUUUUGUCGUGUGCGUAUGAGUGUGUGCGAUUCCCGCCUGUCUCUCUUCAUCGCCCUCUAGUGUUCAGUUAGGGUUUAUUACAGGGCCUCCAGCGUUCAGUUUACCUCAACCUCUGCUUUUUAACUGCAACCAUUAAAACAACGGAUGAGCAGCUCUGUAGGCAACCUUUUAAAUCCUUUGUCUUCCUGAACAAGGCUAGCAGGGUUCAUUCUUUGCUAGCCUUGUUUCCACUGUGGGCCAAAUCAGAGCUAGCCAGGGCUAACUCGUUAGCGUAGCUUCAGACACAGCUAGCCAUCACAAACGUGUUCAAGUCGUUACUGGUUUAGCUUUCACAACGGCCCAACAGAGCUACGUAUGGCUAACAGUAUCGGCGACAGUGUUGGGCUAAGUCUGGCACACGAACGAUAAAAACAGCAAACACAAGGGCUAACAGAUCAGACAAGAUAACCAAGCUACCAGUGCCUUCAUUUGGUUUACUUAAUUUCUCUGGUGUGGUCAGUUGGCUCUAGCUAGCUCUUAUCAUUACCCGUGGAUAUCAAACGCCUGCUCAAAUUACACGCUAACUAGGGCUAACCGACCAGAGCGGACAAGCUGACAGUGGAUUAGCUCAGUAAACUAGUUUGAUAUGGUCGGUUAACACGUUGCACCACAGUUGGUUAACAGCAUUUCUAGGAAGUGGCAGGUCAAGCUAGUUCCUGCAGUAUUAUCUCAGUCGGCUCUGGAGCGCUUUAGUACUGUUUGUCCCUAUCUAGCCCCGUCUGCUCCUGUGUCCAUAUGAGGACUGUUUCCUGUUCCAGUCGACCCAGAGACAAACAGAAGAGCUAAUUAACUUUCACUUCUAUGUGACAUAUACUUCAGCUGUGUUGGUUCAUCAUCAGUGAGGUUAUUAGAUACCUGAAGACGCGGCUAUGAAUUUGGCGUUAGAGACAAUCAGUUGUAAUUUUCAAAUAGAAAACAGAUUAAAGAAAACCCACUCAGUUAAAUCUCAGCAGGAUUUCCAGAAGGAGUUAGAUAACAGGGUGAAAGGGAGGGAUGGAUGGAUGGAUGGAUGGAUGGAUGGAUGGAUGGGUGGGUGGGUUGAGGGGGUGUGAGUGAACUGUAUUACCCUGCUGCACACACAAACAAACACAAGUAAAAGGGCUAAUUCUACCCCCUUGCACCAACCCAACCGGACAUUUCCACAACUGAAAAAGGAUCUCGCGACCAGAGGGGACGGGUAGUGUGUAUGUGCGUUUUCUUUUUCGUGUGAAGAUGAAUAUAGCUAAUUUCUCUUCUUGUACGUUUUUGUCUCUCUGUUUUUGUUUUGUUUUUUUAUAAAGCAACCUCAUAAUCAAAACGAAUCGAACCUCAACGGCUCAUAACGGAACUGUAAGGCAACGACGGUCAGUCAGUUUGUCAGUCAAAAAGAGAGGCGAGAAAUAUUGAACAACCACAACUGGACUGACUGGACGCUUGCUGUGAACUGGCACUAACAACUCCCAAAACUACUACUACUACUACUUCUUCUACUACUAGUACUACUACAGUGGAAUAUCGCAACACAAUCAAGAGAGAGAGCGAGAGAGUUUCAUUACGUCGCGCCCAAACCCUGACACCUCGGUCUGCAGUCCUAAUAUCAAAUCACUGAAUGACAUCGAUUUCUGAAUCUACAGUGAGAAUCUGACAGAGGUUCAGGACUCCAGAAGUGUCACGUUUUGAGUCACAGCAGCAAGAUCGUGGUUGGAGACUAAUCUUCCUCAAUUCAGAAUAAAGUUUCUCCAAUAUGGAGGGUCUUCACUGGCGAUCAACUCCCACGUCAUCCGAAGCCUUUGAUCCAACGUCAACUAAAGUCUCUCGUAUUGUUCGAACACUUCCUGGAACCCAAAAUUAAAUGUAUAGAUUUCUAUAUCGUCUAUGUAAUGAAAACUCUUGUAGUUCUUCUUAGGUUUCAUGGGUCGAAGCAGACAUUAUUUAGUUGGCUACCUUGCUAACUGUUUGUUAGCUUGGUUGCUAAGGGGACAAUAAGUCCAUGCAGCUCACUUUGUUUUUGAAUCACUAAUUCCUGACUUACCAUUUCCUAAAAACCCUGUGGCUUUAGCUUCCUCCAGAGGUCAGCGCUGUCAGAACACUUUACUGCUGGCCCAAAUUUCAGCCGCGUAAAAGUCUUGUUGCUCGUCAAACUCCACCAAAGUCGAAUCUGACGUGAAAAAUGUGUGUUGACAUGAGUUUAUUUCACAGUAAAAUGUUGCUGUUAUGUGACUGGGCCUUUUACACUGCUGUCCUCUCUUCAACGGCAAAGCUUAAUGAUGAAAACCGCGAAAUAAAACCCGCUCUAACGGCACCAUCUGCUGGUGAACGCAGGCUACUACUGAAGCUAACAACGUACAGAGUCGUAAUUACGAGAUUCAGAGUACAAAUUAUGAAAUUACAUUAUGAGGUAUUAAUUUGAACAUUUGUGAAGAAACUCUCUUUCUCUCUCUCAACUGUUUUAUGUUUGUUAGCUCUGUCUGUAUGUCCCUCUCCCUCGGGAUUAUGCGUUAAUGUACGUCUGACUGUGUGCGUGGCCAUAUGAAUACUGGACUUCCAUUCGAAUGCACAUGGACUGUUUUUAAAUGUAUUUAUUUGGAGCCCAGGUGUGUGUUUGUGUGCGAGUUAGUUUCUGCAAUGACUUGAGAAGAAGCCAUGUAUUAAAAAUAUCACAUUUAUGCUGCAGAACUGUUUUGAGGAACCGAUGGUUUGUGUUGUGGACUAAACCGGCUCGCCGUAGGGCACGGCGGGCCGGGGUGCGAAUCGGACUAGCAAUAAGACUCCCUCUGAAUCCAAAAAGCUUUAUGUAGAUCUCCUGUAUAUGAGUUGAGAACAGGCAGUCUGGGUCUCUUUGUUCUGUUGUUUUUAGUUUGGCUGAGAAAUGAUUUUUGUUGUUUGUUUUUCUCUAUGACAUAUAAAUGCGUAUAAAACUGUGAAAAUUCAUUGUGUUCAGUUAAAGGGUGAGUUUUAGGUUAGGUUUUUUUUUUUGCAUGUUAAUCUAAUUUGUUCAAUUAUGGAUGAUUUCUCCUUUCUCCAUCUCUUCUUGCGCUACACACACACACACACACACACACAUAUAUAAAUAUAAAAUAUAUAUAAUCUCGCUCUCAGGGUCUUUCACAAAUCCAUUAUUCGAAAUGCUUCAUGUUCUUAUUUCCUGAGUUGCAACUUGUUCUUUCCAAGUCCUGAUUAUUUUGUCCUUUUUUUUUUUUUUUAAUGAUUCAGAACUGUCAAUCACUACAUUUAGCACUUGACUGUGAACUCGUCAUCACCUAACCGUUAAAAGAUGUGGUUGGAUUUUGGUGUUUUAAAGCCAGAAUAUUGUUGACAUCUUUUGCUCCGUUCUCCCCUCUCACCCGGACAUUCGGUUCAAACCUUUUCUGUUUUCUGUCUUGGUUUAACCCUCGUGUAACUUUCUGUCCUGGUCGGAGGUCAAAGGGAACGUCAGAGAGGAUAUCUAAAACCUCCUCGAACACACGCGCACACACACACACACACACACACACACACAGAUGCUGGACCUCAAUCAGAAAGCAUUAACACACAAUCAUGUGGAAGAGCGUUUCUGUGGUUGUGUUUCAAUCCUUCCUUCCAUCCCCUCGUCUGUCCUCUCCUCCCCCCGGCUGUUAGUAAAACAUGACAGUGUUUCACAAAGUCAAGAGAUGUAAACCUGUUCUGUAUUCAACCCGAUAAGAAAAAGCAAUAAAGAUUAUAUUAAGGAACAGUGUGUGAAUCAAA